rnacentral:rRNA from 1 species
UACGGAGGGGGCAAGCGUUGUUCGGAAUCAUUGGGCGUAAAGGGCGCGUAGGCGGCCGAUCAAGUCGGGUGUGAAAUCCCUCGGCUCAACCGAGGAACUGCAUUCGAUACUGACUGGCUAGAGUCCGGGAGGGGAUGGUGGAAUUCCCAGCGUAGCGGUGAAAUGCGUAGAUAUUGGGAAGAACACCGGUGGCGAAGGCGGCCAUCUGGACCGGUACUGACGCUGAGGCGCGAAAGCCAGGGGAGCGAAU